AGAUUAAGCCAUGCAUGUCUAAGUACAAGCCUCACUAAGGUGAAACCGCGAAUGGCUCAUUAAAUCACACCUAAUCUACUGGAUAGUAGUCAGUUACUUGGAUACCUGAGGUAAUUCUUCAGCUAAUACAUGCGCACAAGCCUCGAACUUACGUGAGAGGCGCUUUUAUUAGAUCAAAACCAGUCGGCUUCGGCCGUCCCUUUGGUGACUCUGAAUAACUUUGGGCUGAUCGCAUGGCCUCGCGCCGGCGACAUAUCCUUCGAAGGUGUGCCCUAUCAACUGUCGACUGUGGCAUAGACGCCCACAGUGGUUUUGACGGGUAACGGGGAAUCAGGGUUCGAUUCCGGAGAGGGAGCCUUAAAAACGGCUACCACAUCCAAGGAAGGCAGCAGGCACGCAAAUUACCCAAUGACCGAAGGUCGAGGUAGUGACGAAAAAUAACGAUACGGGACUCAUCCGAGGCCCCGUAAUCGGAAUGAGUACACUUUAAAACCUUUCCAACGAGGAUCUAUUGGAGGGCAAGUCUGGUGCCAGCAGCCGCGGUAAUUCCAGCUCCAAUAGCGUAUAUUAAAGUUGUUGCGGUUAAAAAGCUCGUAGUUGGAUCUCGGCGGGUAGAGAGCGGUAUGCUUGCUAGCAUUACUGCUCUAUUACCCGUAGUUUUGCCA
rnacentral:rRNA from 1 species